UGGGUUUUCACGUUAUUUAGUUUAGGUUUAGUUCAGCACAGCAGUAAGCGGACCCGGAAGACUCACAACAAACCAUGUUUUUUAAUAACACAUUUUUUAUUU